ensembl:misc_RNA 7SK 7SK RNA
GAAUUUAAAAAGCAAGUGGCCCUAGGAUCUGUCACCCUGAUAGCCAGGGUUGAUCUGGCUCAUAUCUCUAGUUAGGCAAGUGUUCCCUUCCUCCCUCACUGCUCCACGUGUAUCCUUCCCAAAACUGUGCACUCAGUGAGAGGGGACGACCUUACAGAGGAGGACUGUUCUCUGCUCAAGGGUAUAUGAGUGGCUGUGAACCUCCAAACAAGCUCUCAAGGUCCAUUUGGAAAAGAACAUAGAGGAGUCUAUCUUCCAAGACUCCAGACACAUCCAAAUGAGGCACUGGAUAGUCUGCCUUUCUUU